UACGGGGGGGGCAAGCGUUGUUCGGAAUUACUGGGCGUAAAGGGCGCGUAGGCGGCUCGUCAAGUCGGGCGUGAAAUCUCCGGGCUUAACCUGGAAAAGUCGUUCGAUACUGUUGAGCUAGAGUGUGGAAGAGGCUACUGGAAUUCCGUGUGUAGCGGUGAAAUGCGUAGAUAUACGGAGGAACACCAAUUGCGAAGGCAGCUCGCUGGGACGUUACUGACGCUGAGACGCGAAAGCGUGGGGAGCAAACAGG
rnacentral:rRNA from 1 species